rnacentral:tRNA from 1 species
GACUUUAUAGUUUAUUAAAAAACAUUAAUCUUGUAAAUUAAAAAUAAAGUAAGUCU